rnacentral:rRNA from 1 species
UACGGAGGGUGCGAGCGUUGUUCGGAUUCAUUGGGCGUAAAGGGUGCGUAGGUGGCGCUGUAAGUCAGGUGUGAAAUUUCGGAGCUUAACUCCGAAACUGCAUUUGAUACUGCGGUGCUUGAGGACUGGAGAGGAGACUGGAAUUUACGGUGUAGCAGUGAAAUGCGUAGAGAUCGUAAGGAAGACCAGUGGCGAAGGCGGGUCUCUGGACAGUUCCUGACACUGAGGCACGAAGGCCAGGGGAGCAAACGGG